rnacentral:rRNA from 1 species
CCUACGGGCGGCAGCAGUGGGGAAUAUUGCACAAUGGGCGCAAGCCUGAUGCAGCCAUGCCGCGUGUGUGAAGAAGGCCUUCGGGUUGUAAAGCACUUUCAGCGGGGAGGAAGGCGAUAAGGUUAAUAACCUUGUCGAUUGACGUUACACGCAGAAGAAGCACCGGCUAACUCCGUGCCAGCAGCCGCGGUAAUACGGAGGGUGCAAGCGUUAAUCGGAAUUACUGGGCGUAAAGCGCACGCAGGCGGUCUGUCAAGUCGGAUGUGAAAUCCCCGGGCUUAACCUGGGAACUGCAUUCGAAACUGGCAGGCUAGAGUCUCGUAGAGGGGGGUAGAAUUCCAGGUGUAGCGGUGAAAUGCGUAGAGAUCUGGAGGAAUACCGGUGGCGAAGGCGGCCCCCUGGACGAAGACUGACGCUCAGGUGCGAAAGCGUGGGGAGCAAACAGGAUUAGAUACCCCGGUAGUC